rnacentral:rRNA from 1 species
CCUACGGGAGGCAGCAGUGGGGAAUAUUGCACAAUGGGGGAAACCCUGAUGCAGCGACGCCGCGUGAGUGCAGAAGUAUUUCGGUACGUAAAGCUCUAUCAGCAGGGAAGAAAAUGACGGUACCUGACUAAGAAGCCCCGGCUAACUACGUGCCAGCAGCCGCGGUAAUACGUAGGGGGCAAGCGUUAUCCGGAUUUACUGGGUGUAAAGGGAGCGUAGACGGCAGCGCAAGUCUGGAGUGAAAUCCCAUGGCUUAACCAUGGAACUGCUUUGGAAACUGUGCAGCUAGAGUGCAGGAGAGGUAAGCGGAAUUCCUAGUGUAGCGGUGAAAUGCGUAGAUAUUAGGAGGAACACCAGUGGCGAAGGCGGCUUACUGGACUGUAACUGACGUUAAGGCUCGAAAGCGUGGGGAGCAAACAGGAUUAGAUACCCGAGUAGUC